GACGGAAGGUGCAAGCGUUGCUCGGAAUCACUGGGCGUAAAGGGUGCGUAGGCGGCCGCGCAAGUCUGGCGUGAAAGCCCCGGGCUCAGCCCGGGAAGGGCGCUCGAAACGGCGCGGCUCGAGUGCCGGAGGGGAGAGUGGAAUUCCUGGUGUAGCGGUGAAAUGCGUAGAUAUCAGGAGGAACACCGAUGGCGAAGGCAGAUCUCUGGGCCGUAACUGACGCUGAGGAGCGAAAGCAUGGGGAGCGAACAGG
rnacentral:rRNA from 1 species